GAUACUGGGGCCGUAUUCUGUAACGGUUCCUUUGGGAACCGGUUCCUUUUGGCUGUUACGUCUGGAUUACGUAACUCGGAGAAAGAGUGGAACGGGGCGGCGUGAGGGGAACCAAUCAACGAGCGGCGGUCUGCUGGAAGAUCACGUCAUCAUUUUUGUUUGUACUUGGGGGACUGUAUAGCAAUUAAAGGAUGUUGCUGGUUUGAUAAAAAAACAUUGGUUUCUACAGAACACUUGCAAAUAUAUUUUCAGUAAUAAAUGUGAGCUUGCGGCGCAGACCGCUACUGGGAGUUGUAAGUUUAUUUCUGUUGUUUUCUUAUUUAGUCGCUAGGUGGUGUGCCAUACGCUAUGCAAACAAGUUGCCUCGCUUUGUUUACGUUUUGGACUUGCCAGUUUGCGCGCCGCGGAUCCAAAACGAUGUCCUCGCAGAAGGUUAGGCUGCUGGGUCCUCAUGUUUCAGCGAGGCAACGCGAUAUACUCGUGUCAUUUGUUGAAGAGCACCCCUACCUUGCGAAGGCGUCGUGUGUGCUGGGUCAACAGCUGACGGCGGCGCGCAAGGAGGAGCUCUCGCAGCAAGUGAUUGCCUUGCUGCCCGGCAGUGAAAACUGCAGCCCAAUGGCGCGGCGUGUGGAAGAAAGACGUGUAUAACGUCCGCCGUGAUGCAGCCAGAGGAACCGGAGGAGGCAGCCUGCCCGGACCGCGAGGGCGGGCGAGCGCCAUCGGAGUCUGCCCGCCGUUCUUUGAGCCCGACGAAGAGGUGAACAUCAGGCGCAUGGGUUUCAAUAGGUCAACGCCAAGUCGACGUGCUGUCGCGAUUCGCUCAGUCACCGCCGUUAUGGCUGAUGUGUGGUCGCGCGCUAGUGUUGCCGCUCAGAAGAUGGCCCGAGCUUGAGCGGAAAUCGUCAAGCUAUUUACUAUCGCUUGCGUCAAGUAAGGUCGACAUUUUUGUUUAAUACCUUUCAUCAGUAUUUCAGUCUACUCAUUCAAACAUUAGGGGGGUUAAUAGAGUUGAUUUUCCGGUCGGAGCCGGCGAAAUGUCUGAGGUUGUAUUUAGUGUGACGAGCAUCGAGUGAUUAUUACAGAGUUUGAAACGAACAAAAGUGUGUGGUCCGGAUGAUAUCCCUACAUCAUUCCUUAUAAAUUGCUCGGGCAUCUUUGUACUUCUGUCGCUUAUUUCAAAAUUUCUUAAAUAACAGCGUUGUUCCUGGUGAUUGGAAACUAGCGCGAGUGGUGCCAAUUCAUAAGAGUGGACAGAGGAACAGAGUUGAGAAUUACGGACCAGUAUCCUUAACUAGCAUUUUAUGUAUGUAAGGUUAUGGCACAUGUGUAUACCUGCAUCAUGUCUCAUCUUGAUAACAAUAACCUUCUUCAUCCUAGUCAGCAUGGGUUUCGGCAGGGUUUUUCGUGUACGACACAAUUGGUUGCAUUCACUCAUGAGCUAGUCUCACCAGUCGACAAGAAACAAAUUGUUGAUUGUAUAUUUCUGUAUUUCAAAAAAGCUUUUGACGUCGUUACGCAUAGUCUACUGAUCGCUAAACUUUGACUUUACAAAUUGGUUGAGAAGGUUAUCGCAUGUAUUGCCGAGUAUCUUCGCUCAAGACAGAUGUCUGUGGCUCUCAACGGAUGUUCCUCUGAAUACGUACCUGUGACUUCUGGGGUUCCCCAGAAGUCACAUUCAUGGCACCACUUCAGGCAUUACAUCAUCAUUUACAGCAUGGUUUCCAAAAAGGAUUUUCUUGCGAAACCUAACUACUAGAAUUCACGUCAGACUUACGCUUUCAUAUGAACAGUAAUAAACAAAUUGACUGCAUCUUUUUGGAUUUCUCGAAAGCAUUCGAUCGUGUAGCCCAUAGUCACCCGAUAUCAAAGCUCUCAGCAAUUAAACUCGACUCACUAACCCUAUCAUGGAUUCGCAAUUUUCUUACUAAUCGCGAACAGUUCACUGUUGUUGCUAACUUUUCCUCUGGCCUCUUUGACGUCACCUCUGGUGUACCUCAAGGCAGUUUACUUGGGCCUCUUCUCUUUUUAAUUUACAUUAACGACUUGCCGAACAAUAUAUCAUCUUCUGUACGAUUAUUAUUUCACAGAUUUGUUCACACAGUUGGCCUAACCUUAUCAAACCUGAAAGAAGCAUCCUCGACGUCACAACGACUGAACAAUCAGUUCAGCUACACCCGAAUUUAUGGCAACACACAACGCUUUUAAUUUUUCAACUUUGCCCCGUGCGGUCCGUUUAUGGAACGCACUACCAGAUACCAUUGCAUGCCAAUCUAAACACACUGCAUUUCGCAAUCUGCUAAGCAAUCAAUAUGCCGUUUCAAUCGUCUAAACACGUCAUGUCUUUUGUAAUUUACUUGAAUUUUUUUCUACAAGUUAAAGAAUUUCAGCGCUCCCAAUUUUUUUACAAUACUUACUACUGUAUAACAUGUAAAAACGUUUACAAUGUUAUUAUGCUAUUAUGUUGUUGUUUACCAUUUAUUGUUAUUGCUCUACAUAUUGUAUUUGCUAAUGUAUUAAUUUUCCAUGUUCUGUGUGCACUCCUUUCAUUAUGCUGAUGUUUAUUUCUUUCCCGAUUCAAUACUAAUAUGUUACCGUAUUUCCCCCUUACACUAUGCCUUCUCGAAGGCCUGUAAGGUACACGUAAAUAAAUAAAUCAAUAUUUAGAA